CAUUGCAAUCAUUAAUGUUAAAUUAAAAGAGGAUAAAUGCUAACAUGUGUUCUUAAGAUACAUGUUAAUGAACUCAAUAAAGAAAUAUUUAUCUAAAUACUAAUCCUUCGGAUUAAUUGAACAAUGGGUAAGAAAACAUGAGAGAUCACAAGAGACAAAUAGAUAGGAGAUGAUCCGAGUCUAAAAACGAUUAACUAUUUACCCAUCUUUUUUUAAGAAUAACUAUUUACCCAUCUUAAAAUUACAAAAAUUACUAACAAAAAUAUAAAGUUGACCAAAUUGACCAUUAAUGCGUGCUAGCAUUUUCCUAAAAAGUUGGCCAAAUUGUCCAAUGCCACACGGAGGUGUAGAGUGGUGGUAUGCAACGUAAGGUGGUCUAUCUAUCACUAGUCAUAGUUUUCCAAGCAUUUUCUUGAAUAAAAAAUAAAUUUGGUCAACUAAAUAGAAAAGAUAGAUAGUAGGUUCUAACUUUUUGAGAUUUUAUUUCCAAACACUCACAAAGUAUACAUAGUAGGUGCAAACUUUUUGGAUUCUAAAAUGGUUGUCCUAUGAAUCAAUCUAAUCUUUAUAUGGUAGAUUCUAUUAGAAUUUGAAUUACUGCAUAUUGAAAUUGCUGUUAUUUGAAUCAUAUGGAAGAUUCCAUUUGAAUUCAUAUUACUGCAGCAAGAUUAUUUUUAUGGCCAUGUGCUGUAAUUUCAUUUGCAGCAGCAAUAUUAUUUGUUCUAUAACCUUUAACAAUUGUGCUAGUUAUUUAUACCGAAAAUCUUUAUAAUUUAGAAUAAUUUCUUGGAUAAUCUCCACUACAUGCUGUAUUAGUGAUCAUGCUCUUAUCAUUUUAUUGCAGUUCUAGCGAUUCGGGCUGCAAUAUUAAACUUUUGACUUAGAAAUCGUGGUUGAGUCUAAC
rnacentral:lncRNA from 1 species